GCUGGGUGUGGUGGCUCAUGCCUGUAAUCCCAGCAACUUGGAAGGCUAAGGCAGGAGGAUUUCAGGUUUGAAGCUAGCCUCAGCAACUUAUCAGAGCUGUAAGCAACCUAGUGGGAUCCUGUCUCAA
rnacentral:sRNA from 1 species